rnacentral:rRNA from 1 species
GACGAACGCUGGCGGCGUGCCUAAUACAUGCAAGUUGGGCGCUGAAGGUUGGUACUUGUACCAACUGGAUGAGCAGCGAACGGGUGAGUAACGCGUGGGGAAUCUGCCUUUGAGCGGGGGACAACAUUUGGAAACGAAUGCUAAUACCGCAUAAAAACUUUAAACACAAGUUUUAAGUUUGAAAGAUGCAAUUGCAUCACUCAAAGAUGAUCCCGCGUUGUAUUAGCUAGUUGGUGAGGUAAAGGCUCACCAAGGCGAUGAUACAUAGCCGACCUGAGAGGGUGAUCGGCCACAUUGGGACUGAGACACGGCCCAAACUCCUACGGGAGGCAGCAGUAGGGAAUCUUCGGCAAUGGACGAAAGUCUGACCGAGCAACGCCGCGUGAGUGAAGAAGGUUGUCGGGUCGUAAAACUCUGUUGGUAGAGAAGAACGUUGGUGAGAGUGGAAAGCUCAUCAAGUGACGGUAACUACCCAGAAAGGGACGGCUAACUACGUG